rnacentral:rRNA from 1 species
AAAAACCUAAACUGCAAAGUCGACGAGAGACCUUCGGGUCUCUAGUGGCGAACGGGUGAGUAACACGUAGGGAACCUGCUCGCGCACCGGGAAUACGCUCUGGAAACGGAGAACAAAUCCCGAUGUACAGGAAGGAGGCAUCUUCUUUCUGUGAAACAUCCUUUAGGGGAUGGGGCGCGGAUGGACCUGCGGUGCAUUAGUUGGUUGGCGGGGUAAAGGCCCACCAAGACGAUGAUGCAUAGCCGGCCUGAGAGGGCGGACGGCCACAUUGGGACUGAGACACGGCCCAGACUCCUGCGGGAGGCAGCAGUAGGGAAUUUUCGUCAAUGGGCGCAAGCCUGAACGAGCGAUGCCGCGUGAGUGAAGAAGGCCUUCGGGUCGUAAAGCUCUGUUGCGGGGGAAAAAAGGCAGCAUCAGGAAAUGGGUGCUGACUGAUGGUGCCCCGCCAGAAAGUCACGGCUAACUACGAGCCAGCAGCCGCGGUAAUACGUAGGUGGCGAGCGUUAUCCGGAAUGAUUGGGCGUACAGGGUGCGCAGGCGGUCCUGCAAGUCUGGAGUGAAACGCAUGAGCUCAACUCAUGCAUGGUUUUGGAAAAUGGAGGACUGGAGAGCAGGAUAAGUCGGUGCAACUCUAUGUGUGCUCGUACCCCGCGCACAAUUCUGUACUACCCCCCUGGACAACACCCCCAUUUGUUCUGUAGCCCACGGCUUUAAUUGAGCCUAAUUACUUCCCCCGAUUCCCCCUUUAUU